UGGUAAUGGAAUUCAGAACAACGGUGAGCUUUAAGAAAGAGAGCAUGCUUCAGAGAGACCAAGAAUGACAGCUAUGGAUAAAGAGUUACAAGGGCUUAAGGCAUGGCAAGCAAGUUAAUAAAUGGCUCUAAGGUUCAAGCAAAUCCUACUGUGGUGGGGCAGAGGACCUUGAGAAAUUGAAGUUCUUGGAAAAUAACUCAUCUUCAACCUAAGGGAUUAGGGCACCUGAGCUUCGUCUGAAAAGAUUGAGCCUGCUGGAUUGAUCAGCAAUUUCCACAUCAGCAGGAAAUGUGCUGACCUUACUUUUUCUAAGCAUUUGCAGAAAACUGGUGAAGAAAAAAAAAGUGUGCUACUUUACCUUCAAUACCACUCUCAAAUCUAUGAAAUAUAACAAGGGUGAAGUGACAGUUGGGGGUUGUCAAAGACAGAGGAUAUGCCAAACUGUGGUUGGGGGAGAUCUAUGCAGUCAACACCAAGAGCCUGAGAAGGCCUCAGAAAUCUAGCGUGGAGCCCACGCAGUGACAGGCAACGUCAAACAGUGGCCUAGGAUCCUUCAGCCAACAGCAGAGACAGAUAAAGAGAACAGUGAGGUUUGCAAGGAUUGCCGGCCGCCAGAAGUGUGAAGAUGCCAGGAAGGUCCUGCCCAGAGUCCCAGAGCCUGCAUUGUCCUCACAACCCCUGAUUCUGGACUUCUGGUGCCUCCAGAACUCGGGGAGAGUAAAUGUCUGUUGUUAAGCCACCGUCUGUGGCACUGUGUCAAAGGAUACCAAUGACUUCCUUUAUUAUUUCAAAGGGAUUUUAACUGAUGGUGAGGGGGUAUCGUUCACACAAUUUGCCAGAAGGAGCUAAGUGGAAGACUCCUGCUUGGCUGUGCUCCUAGCUGGUGUGACUUGGAGAAGGUGAGUUCCACCAUUAGCAGGCACCAGAUAAACAUACAAGUACAAAUAAGCACAUCACUGCCACUUCCUUUAUCAUGCAAUAAAUCUGACCUGUGAACUUCACACAAACUGUACAAAUCUAUGGUGCAAUGGCAACUUGGACACCUGCCUUCAUUUUGAUCUGGAAAAUGUUGAAAUUAAAAAAUAUACAUUGCUUAU
rnacentral:lncRNA from 10 species